rnacentral:lncRNA from 1 species
GUGGACUUGACUGAUAACACAUGCACUUGUACGAGAUUUCAGUUGAAGAGUUUUCCAUGUGAGCAUGCAGUUGCGGUGGCCAUGUACCGAGGCUUUGUAGCAAGAACGUUAUGCUCUUUGUAUUAUACGACUAAGUCUUGAAGAACAGCAUAUGCUGAGAUUAUAUUUUCUCUGCCGAAUGAAGCCGAGUGAGAAGUUCUCGAGCAUAUUCUCC